rnacentral:rRNA from 1 species
UACGUAGGGGGCAAGCGUUGUCCGGAUUUAUUGGGCGUAAAAGAGCGUGUAGGCGGCCAGGUAGGUCCGUUGUGAAAACUGGGAGGCUUAACCUCCAGCUGUCGAUGGAAACCAAUCUGGCUAGAGUCCGGAAGAGGAGAGUGGAAUUCCUGGUGUAGCGGUGGAAUGCGCAGAUAUCAGGAGGAACACCAAUAGCGAAGGCAGCUCGCUGGGACGUUACUGACACUGAGGCGCGAAAGCGUGGGGAGCGAACAGG